ACAAAACAGAGGGUAUUAUUUUACAAAUAUGAAACAGUAAUAUAUCAGCUAUGGAGGUCUGCGGGAGCCUAAAAACAUAAACUAGAAUAUUUUUAAAUCAUCUGAAAUCUCAUCAUACUGCCCUCUAGAUGGGUAUCAUUCCUGUCUUUGUUCCAGUUUAUUUAAAUAUGGAGAUAUUUGGACUCAGAGAAGAAAAGUAAACGCUCGAAGUCACAGAACUAGGAUUGAAGCCAGCCUUUACUGAGUGAGUUAUUUGCAGUUGUGCUGGUAAAUGUGCAACAAUCAACUCCCUGAAAAUAACAUGUUCUUCAUUACAAAAGGAUUAUCUCUCUACGAGUUGCAAAUAUUUUUCCUGGUGUAUCAUUUGUCCUAUGGUUUUACAUGCUAUUAUUAUUACCCUGGAGAAUAUCCGGUGUUACCUCGACCACUUUUGAUUAAGAAAACUGCAGAAAGUUAGUAACUGCCACAAACGAACGCCAGGCGGUGGCCCGUGUCAAUUUUCCACAGAGUCCUGCUUUGCGGGGUGUCUGAAUGCACUGCUCGGGGUCUCUGCUCACACUUACUGGAAUCAAUCGUGGCAGAUUUUAGUCCACAGGUCGCUUUUCCCCAUAUUUCUUUGUAAACUCUUCAGCGUUCUUACAGAAAUUUUUACGGUCCUUAGAGUAUUCUUCAGCUAGGUCAGCCCGAAGCGGGUGCUCAGGCUGGGGGUCGUUCACCAGUGCUAUGAGGGACCGGAUUACUUGGUCGGUUUUGGUUGCUGGCUUCCAGUUUUCAGCACUAAUUACCGGCAGUCAGACCUGCCCCUUUUCAUCAAUGUUCGGGUGAUAGAUCUUUGUUUUAAAUGUGAUCUUCGGUGGUUUGAAUGGGUACUCUGCCGGAAAGUUGAUUUCGAUUCUGAAGGUCCCAUUGUCAUAUGGAGGGUUGUCAGGAACAAUAAGCCCUUGCCAAGUCAAUAAAUUAGCUUCAUCAAUCUGGAUGUUACGGAAGUUUUUCAUUCCACAUUUGCGGAUUUCUUCAAGCUCCUUCAUCAGCCUCCUGCUGGCCGCCAUCUUGGAUCUGGUGCUGCU
rnacentral:lncRNA from 1 species